AUUUAUGUCUCACUGGCAGAAGUGUGCAUAUAGACUUCAAUUUUACAGUAUAAAGUGAAGAGAGUUUAAAAAUGAAGCCAAGUACCAUUUUGAGCUAUCUUACAACAUUCCUGACAUUUCAAUGCAGUUGGAGUCAGACGCUGACUGAAUCUGAACCUGUUGUCAUUAAACCUGGAGGAUCUCAUAAACUGACCUGUACUGCAUCUGGCUUUACCUUCAGUAGCUACUGGAUGGCUUGGAUCAGACAAGCUCCUGGAAAAGGACUGGAUUUUGUUGCAACUAUUGAGUAUGACAGUGAUAAUAAGUUUUACUCCAGUGCUGUUGAAGGAAGGUUUACUGCCUCCAGAGACAACAGUAAGAAUCAGGUGUAUCUGCAUAUGAGCAAUCUGAAGAAUGAAGACACAGCGGUGUAUUACUGUGCCAGACACCCACAGAGACAAAAGAGAUUGUGGCCCUGA